UACGUAGGGGGCUAGCGUUGUCCGGAUUUAUUGGGCGUAAAGAGCGUGUAGGCGGCCAGGUAGGUCUGCUGUGAAAACUCGAGGCUCAACCUCGAGAUGUCGGCGGAAACCGUCUGGCUAGAGUCCGGAAGAGGAGAGUGGAAUUCCGUGGUGUAGCGGUGAAAUGCGCAGAUAUCAGGAAGAACACCUAUGGCGAAGGCAGCUCUCUGGGACGGUACUGACGCUGAGACGCGAAAGCGUGGGGAGCGAACAGG
rnacentral:rRNA from 1 species